ensembl:lncRNA
CCCCACCCCAUGAAGGAUAACUCUUUUCUGUCCUUGGGAGGUAGAGAGAGUGUGUGUGUGUGUGCAUCUCAGUCCUGGCAACCCUGGGGAAUCAGAGAUAGGAGUGGGAAGCUGCCAACAGUAGAAACAGCUGCUAGAGCACUGCUGGAGAGGUGGCAGAUUGCCAAAAGAGAGGCGGCUGCUGUCUGUUGCAAGCUUCCCUGAAGAUUCAUGUCCACAGACUGAGAUGCAAAUACUCUGGGUGAGACCUGCUGAGUCUGGCCUGGUGACCCUCUGAGACGGGACCCUCGUCCUAAGAGAGGCUGAAGUUCCUUCUUAGAUUUAAGUAACGGAUCUUUUAAACAACCUGGCAUUCAGAUGAACCACUAGGGAAUUCUGAUCUUAACAAUCAAGACCAGACUGGAGGGGUACUUAGAGGUCAGGAGCCCUUUCUGCUCGUGCAUAGACCCCAAAUUUGAGUCCCAGCACUUACAUGUAGCUUGCAACCACCUGUAAAUCAAAUUCUAAGAAAUCUGAUGCUCUCUUUCCACACAAUACACAGACAUACAUUAAGGCAAAACACUCAUGCAACUAAUAUAAAAAUAAAUACUUUAAAAAAAAAUCAAGACUAUAUUCUAGGUUAGAGGAACCACCAGACACAACCUGACAAAGGCUAAAAUUAAACUUUGACAAAAUUAAGAAGGGUGACUCAUAAGUUAACCACCUGACAGAGCAAACCUCAAGUAUUUUCUUUUUCGUACUUACAGAUUUGUGUGUGUGUGUGUGUGUGUGUGUGUGUGUGUGUGUGUGUGUGUGUGUGUGCAUCUGUGUGUGUCUGUGUGCAUGUUCGUGUACAUACAUGGAGAUCAGAGGAUAACUUGUGGAAGUCAGUUCUCUCCUCCUACCCUGUGGGUUCCAUGGGACUCAAGCUCAGGUCUCCAGGCUUGAAGACAAGUGGCUUUAUCCUCUGAGCCAUCUUGACAGGCCCUGAUGUUCUGCUUUAUUAUCAUUGCUUCACACACUUUUUCAUGCACAUAUUCACACAUAUAACCACACCACCAUCACCACCCCCACAACUUCCUUUUCAAAAGUAUUUCCUAAUGUUUAGACCACUUUCUGUGUCUCCUAUGUUCUCUCAUUUCAGUAAGGGGUCUACCCUCCAGGUCCCCCAGGACACCCCCCCUCCAUUUUUUCAGGAUUGCAUACUGCUUCUAUUUUACUGGCCCUUUAACAAAUUAUCACAGACUUAGAGACAGUAUCAGUAUGUCACUCCCGAUUCUAUAAGUCAGAAGUCCAGAUAAUGGACACUGAUCUUCUUUCCAAGGCUGAACCCAAGGUCCCAUUGGCGGGGCUCUUAUCUGGGGGCUCCUGGGGAGAAGUCCAGGGUUGGUUAGACAUUGCAAGAGUUCAGUCUUUGUGCAUACAGGGUUGUGGCCCCUAUCUCUUCCUGGCUCUCAGUGGGGAGCCUUUCUUGGCUCCAGUCAACCCCCAUCUUCAAAACAACAGCAGCAGAUGGAACCCUGCUCAUAUCCAGCAUCUCCAGUUUCUCCUUCCAUGUCUUAUCUUGUCUGCUGAGAAUCCCAUUUCCUCCUGCUGAAGGAUAGCUCUGCUGAAGGAGAACCAGGCUCUGCUGACCAGCCAUCCCUGACCAGCCACAGAUCCCCACACACAGUGGGCAUUGGGAUUCAACCUUUACUCUGCUC